GUUAACCUCUUUUAUCAAUCUACCCGCUGUCUGCACGUGGGACCACAAUGACUUGGCAUAUCAAAAGCGUCCUGUGUACUCGUCCAAAAUUAAUAUGUUGCUUUGGAUGCCCAACGGUUCUUUUCCUCAUUUUAGGACCCGUUAAAGAAUCCAAGUUUCUAGAUUUUCUUAUAAUGAAACCAUGUUAAACACAUCAAAUCAUUUCCAUUUCUGUAAUUUGAUUGGAGCGGCAUUCGAAAUUUGAGAUAAGGUGCGAUACGGGAUUCGCUAAAAGAAAGCUCAGUUUCCAAAAAAUAUAUAAAUACAGGACAUUGAUUCACUUUCUGUAGUGACAGGAGAUACAUAUUGAUCCUUUUGGGUUGUUUGAGGAAGUCUGAAAUUUCAAACACUAAUACAAUACAUUUCUACAAUUUUUAGAAGAGACAAGAGUGAACAAUCCUAAACAACAUAGUUUUAUCGAUUGCACAGCUAUUUCGAUCUGAUGGCAUUUACUUUGGUCAUAUCCAUACCAUUCAUCAUUCUAGCUAUUAUUAUGUGUGUGUGCUGCUACUUCCUAGGUAAAGCAAGGGGUCGCCAGGACAUUCGCACUCAACCACAAGUAUUUGGUGUGCCAGCUGCUCCUCCUAGUGUUAUGCCUCCAGGUCCUUCACCUCCUGGUUCUCCUAAGCAUGACAAAUCAAUGAAUGUCUGAGACAUCUAUCGUACAAAAUAAGUAUAGAUUUUAUUUAUUCAUUGGUCUGGUAUUAUUUUUUUCUAUUCUUUGUUUAGUAGGUUCAAUACCUCAACUUAAAGGAAGAAGAAUAUAUUGUAACUUAUUUUUCUUGAGACUAGUUAGAAGAAUUUUCCACUGUAUAAAUGCGAUCAUGUUUGUAUUAAUUAGUAUGAUGUAAAAACUCGCAUUGGCCUCUAUAUAUAAAUAUCUGGUUCAUAUA